AUGCUUGCUUCAAUAGCACAUACACUAAAAUUGGAAUGACAUAGAGAAUAUUAGCAUGACCCUGUGCAAGGAUGACAUGCAAAUUCAUAAAGCAUUCCAUAUUUUU
ensembl:snRNA RNU6-236P RNA, U6 small nuclear 236, pseudogene